AAUGAACGUUGGCGGCGUGGAUUAGGCAUGCAAGUCGUGCGAGAACCGUAGCAAUACGGGGACAGCGGCGAAAGGGAGAGUAACGCGUGGAUACCUACCCCCAGGACCAGGAUAGCCGCGGGAAACUGCGGGUAAUACUGGAUACUGUCUCCGGACCAAAGGUGUGAUUCCGCCCGGGGAUGGGUCCGCGUCCUAUUAGCUCGUUGGGAGGGUAAUGGCCUACCAAGGCAAAGAUGGGUAUGGGGUGUGAGAGCAUGCCCCCACUCACUGGGACUGAGACACUGCCCAGACACCUACGGGUGGCUGCAGUCGAGGAUCUUCGGCAAUGGGCGCAAGCCUGACCGAGCGACGCCGCGUGCGGGAUGAAGGCCUUCGGGUUGUAAACCGCUGUCAGAGGGGAGGAAAUGCCGUGGGGUUCUCUCCACGGUUUGACCUAUCCUCAGAGGAAGGACGGGCUAAGUUCGUGCCAGCCGCCGCCGUAAUAC
rnacentral:rRNA from 1 species